UACGGUAGGGGCAAGCGUUGUCCGGAUUUAUUGGGCGUAAAGAGCGUGUAGGCGGCCAAACAGGUCCACUGUGAAAACUCGAGGCUCAACCUCGAGAGGUCGGUGGAAACCGUGUGGCUAGAGUCCGGAAGAGGAGAGUGGAAUUCCCGGUGUAGCGGUGAAAUGCGCAGAUAUCGGGAAGAACACCCGUGGCGAAGGCGGGCUCUCGUGG
rnacentral:rRNA from 1 species